CGGAGUAGCCACAGGUGUCGUUAGUGGUUCGAGUACAAAACUUAAAUUAAUCUGGCAAAGACAAAAGCAAAAAAAAAAAACAAUUAAAAUUAAAACAUAAAUUACAAUUUUUCAGAAAAACUUCGGUCCACUACUCGCUGUGGAUAAAAGAGAAAACUUUAUAAAGUCAUUCCCACGCCGAAAUCAAUACAUAAUAUAAAAACUUCUUAUGCGUGUACAAUAGAACUGAAUUAACACAAAAAAAAAAGAAGUCGAGGGGUGAAAAAAACGAUUAUGAGAAAUUGUCACAGUCGGCAACUGAUGCGUUGUUGUUAUUAAAGUACAGUUAGAAUAAGACGCAGAAUAUUCGCUUUUUAAAAAUAGUACGGAAUUUGUCCGUGUCGAAUGAUUACUACUAACAGCAUUUACUGUCUUGUUAUAAUUCUGAUGAAAAUUCUCCCAAAAAAAUGCAUCAUACGAAAAUGGAAACACGAA